UGGACAAAUGAAAUAAAAUACACAUGGGAUUUUAAAUGUUUUCAUUUUUUUAUUAUUCACGACGUUUGUGAAGUUUAAAUGUAUACUGUCUCAAACUGAAUGUGUUAUUUUUGUUGUAGGUGUGUUGGUGUAAAAAUUGAUGCUGACUGAACUCAGGCAGUUGUGCUGGACCUUCUGUACUUUAUACAGGAGAUGACAGUAAACUUUCAAGUUUAAGAGAACUCAGGCAGUUGUGCUGGACCAUCUGUACUUCAUACAGGGGAUGACAGUAAACUGCAAAGUUUAAGAGCCACCUGAUGAUGAGAAAGACAUUAUCAAUGUAGGCAUCUUGAUGAAGAAGAGUCCACA